UUAAAUAAAAAAGGGCUUGUUUGGGCAUCAUUUGAGCGUUUACAUGAGCCUGUUGUUUUUGAAAGGCCACUCCAUGAUCUACAUGCAAUUAUGCUUAUAAUUAAAAUGGGCUUUUUCUGGGUCAGGUCAGGUUCAUUUCCAUGUCUAACGCUUAUUUUGACGGGUUGGGCAGAUUGGAUUGGCUGCCCUAAUGGGUUGGAUGGGUGCAUGUCAUAAAUUUCCCUGCUGUCGGGCUAUAAUGUGAGACUUUACAAAGACCACUGAUUUUAUGCAUAGCUGGGUGUAAAUACUGAGAUACAUAGUUUUUCCCCUUUCCUGUUUGAGUAAUGAUGCAAUCUGUUGUAAGGAAGAACUCCAGCAUGAGGGGCUGAGAUGAGACACGAACCCCUGGCUGCCAAAUGCCUCCUAGGAUCAGGAAGGAAUGGUUUUACACAAGUGCAACAAUGGGAACCUUUUUUUGCAAGCUGCCUUGGCACAACAAAGCUGACAACACUCUGAUGCCGGAUGCAUCUUGGUAUUGCCAGCACCAAGCAGCAUAGAAAGAUCAGGCAGACUGGUGAAUGUCCUCGGGUUGCAUCAUCUUGCUGACGAUAUGCCGCAGUUUUUAGCCGCAGUGUCAAAAUGGAAUUCACACCAUACCCUGCUUUCACCUUUAAAAGAAAGUUUACUGUGAAAACUUACAUUGGUGGUGUGUAAUUUCCAGCAUAGUAUAGUGUUUUUCAGUUUGAGGUUGUAAUGUGUUAAUAUAGAAAACAGUCUUUAAACAAAUAGAAAGAUGAAGGCUAUAUUCCUUUUAGAAUAAUCUGUUUAUCACAGAAUGGAUGGAGUGGACUAACAACUGUGGUUUUGGGCCAUUCAAAAAGGCAUCAUUUACCCUUUAUGUUUCCUCUUAGUGGCUGUGACAACAAUUAAAUAUAAGCACUGUGCUCACAAAAAUGGCUAGAUUACCAAACAAGACAAAAUUGAGAUGUCCAUUUGUCAUCGUUCACAGACCGUUUUUUUGUGUGAUAUAUAUAUGAUUGUAACAGAAGGAGUAACAUAGGUUUCUAGAAUGAGAAUGUGACUUGACUGACUCCCUUACUUUCUCCCUGUUUCUGCACUGACAAAAUCUCAGGGGACUGGGGACUCUGGUGUUGUGGCAGCCUGUAAUGGUUCCCCUUUACUCUUUUCCAACUCCGCUCUCCUGAAAAGCUCUCCUUUUUCACAUUAUAUAAGUGUUACCUUUGUUUUCUGCUGACCUGGGAGAGCAGAAAGAGGAAAUACGAUUUAGUUAACUUAUCUCUUACUGACUUCCAGAAGAGGCUAAAUGAACCUAAGCAGUCCAUUGCUGGAAAAAGGCCUGACUUAAUAGAAAAGACCUCGGAUACAUCCUGACGCUGCUCUUUUUUCUGCUUGGGUGGGGAAAUCUGUCAACACACACUUCACUACCUGAUACAGUAGAAGUGUGUAGCUGGAGGUUUUUCUUCUCUUUUCCACAGAUUGUUCACCCUUGAACCCCUAUUCAUUUCAUGUCCACUACUCGCCAUUAAAUCUGUUCAUUAUGGCUGUUCUUUAUUACAUGUCUGAUAGUUUCUGUUGCUUGAUACAUCUUCCAUCAUUUUCUCACGUUAAGUUUUAUUAUUAUGUAUGCCAUCUGUUUUUUCAUUAACACUCACUAUACAUCUUUGGCUAAUUAUGUUGUUGUUAUUCUUGUUGUUAUUCUUAUCAUCAUUAUCAUUAUUAUUUGUACCAUAUUACACAACUUGUCAUCAUUUGUUUAAAAUGUGUAUGCCAUCUAUGUCUGUAAUGCCAAGAAAUGUUGAAGGCUACAAUGACAAUAAAGGCAGUAUUAUUUUCUACAUUGUUAAAGAAGUCUCAGACUUUCACCCACAGUAUUGCGUUUUGUUACUGUAACAUUAUAGGUUAGUGGCACAGU